rnacentral:rRNA from 1 species
UACGUAGGGUGCGAGCGUUAAUCGGAAUUACUGGGCGUAAAGCGUGCGCAGGCGGUUCGCUGUGUCCGAUGUGAAAGCCCCGGGCUUAACCUGGGAAUGGCAUUGGAAACUGCCGGGCUAGAGUCCGGAAGAGGCGAGUGGAAUUCCUGGUGUAGCGGUGGAAUGACGCAGAUAUCAGGAGGAACACCAAUAGCGAAGGCAGCUCGCUGGGACGGUACUGACGCUAAGGCGCGAAAGCGUGGGGAGCGAACGAGGA